UGCAGCCUUGUCAAAUUCAGUGCAGCACCAGCAAUGAGCUGCACUGGCCCAAAUGGCUGCCACAGUAAAAGUAGUCCAUGGGCCCCAACGUUCUGAAACUGGUAGAUCUUGGGGAUAAUUGGGGCUAUCGACAAGC
ensembl:snoRNA